GUGGGGAAUCUUCCGCAAUGGACGAAAGUCUGACGGAGCGACGCCGCGUGAGUGAAGAAGGCCUUCGGGUCGUAAAGCUCUGUCAUCAGGGACGAACGGCCGGUGGAGUGGAAAGCCACCGGAUUGACGGUACCUGAGAAGGAAGCCACGGCUAACUACGUGCCAGCAGCCGCGGUAAUACGUAGGUGGCAAGCGUUGUCCGGAAUUAUUGGGCUUAAAGCGCGCGCAGGUGGGAUCUUAAGUCCAUUUUUAAAGUUCGGAGCUCAACUCCGUGAUGGGAUGGAAACUGGGAUUCUUGAGUACCGGAGAGGAAAGCGGAAUUCCCCGUGUAGCGGUGAAAUGCGUAGAUAUGGGGAGGAACACCAGUGGCGAAGGCGGCUUUCUGGACGGUGUCUGACACUGAGGCGCGAAAGCCAGGGGAGCGAACGGGAUUAGAAACCCCAGUAGUCC
rnacentral:rRNA from 1 species